GACAAUGCAUUGCGCUUGGUCUCUGGUUUCGUUUGGGGCUUUAUGCAAGGUGGGAUGAAAUAGUAAGAUAUUCUCAGAUGUCCGCGCGAGGAGUUAACGACCGGACGUGAUGCAACCUAGGGAUCACCAGGCAGCUCUUUUGCUCUAUAGGGAUCGGGGGGGCAUAGCACAAUUCUUCUUGGAGGAGGGUUGUUUGCCC
rnacentral:lncRNA from 1 species